AACGACGGCCAGUUGGUGCAUGGCCGUUCUUAGUUCGUGGAGUGAUUUGUCUGGUUAAUUCCGAUAACGAACGAGACUCAAAUAUAUUAAAUAGAUGCAUUCAGGAUUACGAUGCUGAAACUUUAUAUAACGUUUUAUUAAUAGUAUAGUAAAAUAUGCGACUUUUUAAAUCCGUUCAUAUGAAGUGGAGUCGUACCUGUUUGUUUGUCCCAUUAUAACGGACACUAGCUUCUUAAAUGGACAAAUUGCGUCUAGCAAUAAUGAGAUUGAGCAAUAACAGGUCUGUGAUGCCCUU
rnacentral:rRNA from 1 species